rnacentral:rRNA from 1 species
UGGCGGCGUGGUUAAGACAUGCAAGUCGAGCGCUGAUUACGGGGUAGCAAUAUCUCGUAGUUGGAGCGGCGCAAGGGUGCGUAACACGUGGGUAAUCUGCCAUGAAGUUUGGGAUAACUCGCUGAAAGGCGAGCUAAUACCGGAUGUGACGAUUGGAAGGCAUCUUCUGGUCUUCAAAGUUGGGGACCGUAAGGCCUGACGCUUCAUGAUAAGCCCGCGGCCUAUCAGCUAGUUGGUGAGGUAACGGCUCACCAAGGCUAAGACGGGUAGCUGGUCUGAGAGGACGACCAGCCACACUGGAACUGAGACACGGUCCAGACACCUACGGGUGGCAGCAGUCGAGAAUUUUUCACAAUGGGGAAACCCUGAUGGAGCGACGCCGCGUGGGGGAUGAAUGGCUUCGGCCCGUAAACCCCUGUCAUUCGCGAACAAUGCCUGUGUAUUAACACCAUACAGGUUGAUAGUAGCGGAAGAGGAAGGGACGGCUAACUCUGUGCCAGCAGCCGCGGUAAUACAGAGGUCCCAAGCGUUGUUCGGAUUCACUGGGCGUAAAGGGUGCGUAGGCGGUCGGGUAAGUCUGAUGUGAAAUCUCGGAGCUCAACUCCGAAACUGCAUUGGAUACUAUUCGGCUUGAGGUCUGGAGGGGGGACUGGAAUUCUCGGUGUAGCA